rnacentral:rRNA from 1 species
UGGUGGAGUGAUUUGUCUGGUUAAUUCCGUUAACGAACGAGACCUCAGCCUACUAAUUAGUUUUUGGAAUUUUAUGAUUGCAAAAACUUCUUAGAGGGACUAUCGGGAACACAACCGGUGGAAGUAUGAGGCAAUAACA